UACAGAGGCCCCAAGCAUUAUCCGGAUUUACUGGGCGUAAAGGGUGCGUAGGCGGUUAUAUUAGUCGGGUGUCAAAUCCUGAGGCUCAACCUCAGGCUCGCAUCCGAAACGGUAUAACUAGAAGAGGUCAGAGGCAAGCAGAACUCAUGGUGUAGGGGUGAAAUCCGUUGAUAUCAUGGGGAAUACCAAAUGCGAAGGCAGCUUGCUGGGACUUUCUUGACGCUGAGGCACGAAAGCGUGGGUAGCGAAU
rnacentral:rRNA from 1 species